AUGGACAUAUCACGAUGAAACACCGGUUCCCGUACGAUCACUGAAGUUAAGCAAUGUCGAGCUUAUUGCAAUUCCUAGGAGUGACUGCUUGGGAAUACCAGGCGCUGUAA